ensembl:lncRNA
CAAUGUUCCGCGCUCAAUUAGAAUGACGCUAACAUGCCCCGCGGGGGUCUGUCUAGCGCGGAGACGAGAGGUAAGCGUGGAACAGGCCGUUAGGCGGUAAUGGCAGGGCCCCGCCUCCUUCUCGGGCCCUGGAAACGGGGCUGUUGCAGGGAGGAUGCGCAGUGCAGGUCUGCACGGCCACAUGGAAGCGUCAAGGAAAUACAGGCAAAACGUGGUUACGCAAAGGUUGCUAAGACUUACGGAGCUGCCAGAGCUCCCGGGAAGAAGGUGAAGGGAUCAAACAUGAGUCUAUUGUGUCUCCUGCUGUGGUGAAGGAGGAAAUAGACAGAACAGGCUCUGUCUUGAAAGCAGAACUCCAUCUUGGGGUGGAUUGUGGACUUUGAGCUAUAUGCCCAGUAUCUAUGGAAACGACAUACCAACUGGAAAACCAGACCCCUCUGGUUUGAAGAGCCCCAAGCAUCAGAGUCUUUUCCAAUGAGUCAACUCUUCGCAUGAGGUGGCCAAAGUACUAGAGUUUCAGCUUUAGCAUCAUUCCUUCCAAAGAAAUCCCAGGGCUGAUCUCCUUCAGAAUGGACUGGUUGGAUCUCCUUGCAGUCCAAGGGACUCUCAAGAGUCUUCUCCAACACCACAAUUCAAAAGCAUCAGUUCUUCGGCACUCAGCUUUCUUCACAGUGUAUAUAAGGUUUUCACAAAAAACUGGUCAGGUCCUUGGCUAAGAGGAGACUCUGCCUUGGGCCCACCAGUGUAAUAAACUGCACUCCACUAUCUGCAUUGUCCUUCGGAGUGAGUUUGUUUCCCGGAAUGCGUGGCUACAACAUUGGCAGGCAGACUCCUUAACCGCUCACCACUUGGGAGGCACCAAUGCACCAAUAAUUGUGAUCAGAAGUCUACAAGCAACUCCAGUUGUGAGUCUGGGUUUCCAGGUACCCUGCUCCCCUCUCCACUUCUCUUUAGACCCUUGUCCUUCACCUUCCUGCCCCGCUCCCCACUCACACACACACAUAGGAUCUCAUGCUUCUUCCAGAGAAUGGGUUUGGACCACGUGUAUGAUGAUCUGGAUGGGCGUGUCUCCUCAGUCACAAAAUCACAUCUUCACCCCCAACCUCUCUCCUACCCGCACCCCCCCCCCACCGCCGCCACUGCCCUGUUUCACAGUUAGAAUUCAGCUCAGAGUGAAACAAGCUGGCACCCAGGAGAUGGCUGCAGGCAGCACCUUUGCACAACCUGGACGCCCACUCCUCAGCAGAAAGAACCUUGGCAGUGCCAUAUGUCGGGGCUGCUAACGUUGCCAGCAAAAGAGGAGCUUUGUUCUAUUGUUGGGUUUGUUUUGAAAGGGAACAUAAAUAAUCCACACCCACUACUCCUUCCUCAGCAGUCUGGGCAGAGCUCGCUGGCAGGCCUUGUGGUGGCUCUGAGUGGCCUGAAUUGUUCCCACAACACAGCUAGGGACGAGAGCUGGCCUCGGCCACCAGAUGGGUGAAGUCUGAUGAACUGCCAACAGUAAAUAGUUCUCCUCUUGCUUUUCUCAUAUUUAAUCAUCAAAUGAGGUUUGUUUGUUUCAGAAACAAUCAUGUUUCCCUGUAGAAAUUCAGUAUCUUUGUUUUCACACGACCCUAAAAGCUUCUCACAGUCGAUGGGAGCAAUGGGUGUUCUUACCUUCUGGGCCAACUGUGUG